rnacentral:rRNA from 1 species
UACGUAGGGGGCAAGCGUUGUCCGGAUUUAUUGGGCGUAAAGAGCGUGUAGGCGGCCAUGCAGGUCCGUUGUGAAAACUCGAGGCUCAACCUCGAGACGUCGAUGGAAACCUCAUGGCUAGAGUCCGGAAGAGGAGAGCGGAAUUCCUGGUGUAGCGGUGAAAUGCGCAGAUAUCAGGAAGAACACCCGUGGCGAAGGCGGCUCUCUGGGACGGUACUGACGCUGAGACGCGAAAGCGUGGGGAGCAAACAGG